AUUUUACACGCCGUCGAGAAUCGUGUUCAGCUGCUCAAUAAACUGGAGGAUUUGAAUUUAUCAAGUAAAUCAGGCUUGAUUUCAUUGGUCGAAAGCCUCACCAGCAUGGAGAUCGUUUAAGGACUAUCUAGCAGGAAAAGAAAGCUUCCUGAAGGAAUCGGUAAGGGAAUGGAAUUGCUAACUAAUCGAUUAAAUGUUAUGCACCAGUGUCUCUCACUGUUGGAAGAAAGCCAUGUCGAUUCCUGAGAACUUCAUAAAGAACUUUUGAAUCACCUUUCUGGCCUUGAAGAUGAAAUAUAUCGGUUAAGCAGCCUGGGUGAGAUUGACUAAGCCAGUCUCAAUUCCAAAGUCGGGAAAACCGAGUACUCUGCCCAUGGGUCGGUGAUUUAUGGUUCAGUCCCUGCCAUCCUUC